rnacentral:sRNA from 1 species
GGAAAAGUGUGACUUCCAAGAGCUGGCCUUCCAAACCAAGGACUCUCAGUGGCAGCGGAUUCUAUUUGGAGUGUUUCUGAUGCUCUAUUUGAUAACCUUGUCAGGAAACAUGACCUUGGUUAUCUUAAUCCGAACUGAUUCCCACUUGCAUACACCUAUGUACUUUUUCAUUGGCAAUCUGUCUUUUUUGGAUUUCUGGUAUACCUCUGUGUAUAUCCCCAAAAUCCUGGCCAGUUGUGUCUCAGAAGAUAAGCGCAUUUCCUUGGCUGGAUGUGGGGCUCAGCUGUUUUUUUCCUGUGUUGUAGCCUACACUGAAUGCUAUCUCCUGGCAGCCAUGGCAUAUGACCGCCAUGCAGCAAUUUGUAACCCAUUGCUUUAUUCAGGUACCAUGUCCACCGCCCUCUGUACUGGGCUUGUUGCUGGCUCCUACAUAGGAGGAUUUUUGAAUGCCAUAGCCCAUACUGCCAAUACAUUCCGCCUGCACUUUUGUGGUAAAAAUAUCAUUGACCACUUUUUCUGUGAUGCACCACCAUUGGUAAAAAUGUCCUGUACAGACACCAGGGUCUACGAAAAAGUCCUGCUUGGUGUGGUGGGCUUCACAGUCCUCUCCAGCAUUCUUGCUAUCCUGAUUUCCUAUGUCAACAUCCUCCUGGCUAUCCUGAGAAUCCACUCAGCUUCAGGAAGACUCAAGGCAUUCUCCACCUGUGCUUCCCACCUCAUCUCAGUCAUGCUCUUCUAUGGAUCAUUGUUGUUUAUGUAUUCAAGGCCUAGUUCCACCUACUCCCUAGAGAGGGACAAAGUAGCUGCUCUGUUCUACACUGUGAUCAACCCACUGCUCAACCCUCUCAUCUAUAGCCUGAGAAACAAAGAUAUCAAAGAGGCCUUCAGGAAAGCAACACAGACUAUACAACCACAAACAUGAAAGUUAUUCUCUUUGCAAAUGCUGUUAUUGAAUUUUCCAGAUUAUUGGCUUAUAAAUGUGUUCAUUUGCAUUUCUGUAGUUCAAUUAAGUUCAAUAAGUCAUAUUUAAAACAUUAAAAUAUUGACCACAUGACUCUUUGUUAUUAGUUUGUUAUGAUGUAAACAAAACAAAGUAAUAUUUAAAACUUAUAAUAUUGGGUUGUUUGGCAUUCUGCAAUAUGGUAUUUUGCCUUGGCAGUAUUAAAUCUUUCAUAGAUUUCAUUGUGUUUGCUCCCUUUGGGAGAUCUUGGGGAACAAAAUAAAUUACGUGGUUUAAUGAAUAUAGUUUGACUUUGAAGUUUGGUAAGCAAUCUUCACUAGGUGACAAGAAUAUCUGAAAGGGUGAGGCUUCUGGAAAUAUGCUCAAGAUUUUACAAAUAUUUAUUUUAAGAAAAUCAUUUCCUCAAAAUUUCUUCAGAAAGCUCUAACUGAGCAUAUAGGGAGUAUCUUUGUAAAACUCAUGCCUUCUACGUAAAGAGAAUAUUAGGAAGAUGUUUAAGAGUUGUUCAGAUUACAAACAACAAUGACAACAAAAAACUAUCUCAAAAUUAAUGAAUAAAUAUGUGUCUUUAGAAUUGCAUAUCAUCCUAACAGUCUUCUCUCUUACAAGGAGUGAGUACUCCGCAGUACUCUCUCUCAGGUCACACAGCGAUGUGACAACAUCAAACGAAAUAAAACAAAUGAACAACAACAGUAACCACUGUUCCCUAGUUACCAUUCUCUUUCCUUUGUCCUGACCAAAAGACAUAAGCUGCAUGGUUGUCCCUGGCCUGAACCCAGCCUGGGCCUUGAACAUUCCUAAGAACUGAUAAACUUGUUUAGGUCGAUGCCUGAAACCCUGAAAAAUCAAACAUGUUGCUAACCACAUGGAAACUAGCCUUGGCCUCGAGCCCAAUUCCCUAAACCCUGAUAUAAACUCCAUAACUGAACCCCCUUGUGAUGGCAGGUUGGGUUGAUAUUUCAUUUAGUAGCCUUUAGAAGAUGGCAAGUUAAGGAUUAAUGGUUACAGUUUUCAAAUCACAAGCUUGCAGCUCAGAGGUUAGCACUUCGUUGAGAAAAGGUUAUAACAUUUGCUGGAAUUAGCACAUUUAAAAAAUUAAUUAAAUUUUAAAAAUUUAGGACAAAUAGUUGUAGCCAUUUCAUUUGUCUUUACUUUGACAUUUCUCAUCUUUCUCUUCAGCUGCAUUUAUUUUCCGACACAUCCUGCCUCUUUCCAUCAAAAUAAUCUUAACAUUCUUAUUCCUCUAUCACAAAGGAAGCUGUUUGAGUACUUGACUAGAAGGAUUUGGGGUGUAUCCGGCAAAUAUCAAUGAUCCAUAUUAUGUUUUCUUUUCAUCUCCAUAAUACUCACUAUGUAGGAAAAAUAAUUGGGUCAAUAUUAUGGGAAAGAACAACGUAAAAUUUAAUUUUACUUUAGGAUGUCAGAAGUAUUACUUUUCCAUUUUGCAUUAAUCGGAGAUACUGAAUUUUAAAAACUGUAUCAGUAUUCAAUUGAAUCUACAAUACUGUAGUAUAUAUUAUAGUCUGAUCUCAAAAUCAUAACAACAAACAAAAUAGAAAC